rnacentral:rRNA from 1 species
UACGUAGGGUGCAAGCGUUAAUCGGAAUUACUGGGCGUAAAGCGUGCGCAGGCGGUUUGGUAAGACAGAUGUGAAAUCCCCGGGCUUAACCUGGGAAUGGCAUUUGUGACUGCCCGGCUAGAGUGUGUCAGAGGGGGGUAGAAUUCCACGUGUAGCAGUGAAAUGCGUAGAUAUGUGGAGGAAUACCGAUGGCGAAGGCAGCCCCCUGGGAUAACACUGACGCUCAUGCACGAAAGCGUGGGGAGCAAACAGGAUUAGAAACCCCCGUA